GGAAUAUUGGACAAUGGGCGAAAGCCUGAUCCAGCCAUGCCGCGUGUGUGAAGAAGGUCUUCGGAUUGUAAAGCACUUUAAGUUGGGAAGAAGGGCAGUAAGCUAAUACCUUGCUGUUUUGACGUUACCGACAGAAUAAGCACCGGCUAACUCUGUGCAAGCAGCCGCGGUAAUACAGAGGGUGCAAGCGUUAAUGGGAAUUACUGGGCGAAAAGCGCUCGUAGGUGGUUCGAUAAGUUGGAUGUGAAAGCCCCGGGCUCAACCUGGGAACUGCAUCCAAAACUGGCGAGCUAGAGUACAGUAGAGGGUGGUGGAAUUUCCUGUGUAGCGGUGAAAUGCGUAGAUAUAGGAAGGAACACCAGUGGCGAAGGCGACCACCUGGACUGAUACUGACACUGAGGUGCGAAAGCGUGGGGAGCAA
rnacentral:rRNA from 1 species